AUGAACGCUGGCGGCGUGCCUAAUACAUGCAAGUCGAACGAGUUCUCGUUGAUGAUCGGUGCUUGCACCGAGAUUCAACAUGGAACGAGUGGCGGACGGGUGAGUAACACGUGGGUAACCUGCCCUUAAGUGGGGGAUAACAUUUGGAAACAGAUGCUAAUACCGCAUAGAUCCAAGAACCGCAUGGUUCUUGGCUGAAAGAUGGCGUAAGCUAUCGCUUUUGGAUGGACCCGCGGCGUAUUAGCUAGUUGGUGAGGUAAUGGCUCACCAAGGCGAUGAUACGUAGCCGAACUGAGAGGUUGAUCGGCCACAUUGGGACUGAGACACGGCCCAAACUCCUACGGGAGGCAGCAGUAGGGAAUCUUCCACAAUGGACGCAAGUCUGAUGGAGCAACGCCGCGUGAGUGAAGAAGGCUUUCGGGUCGUAAAACUCUGUUGUUGGAGAAGAAUGGUCGGCAGAGUAACUGUUGUCGGCGUGACGGUAUCCAACCAGAAAGCCACGGCUAACUACGUGCCAGCAGCCGCGGUAAUACGUAGGUGGCAAGCGUUAUCCGGAUUUAUUGGGCGUAAAGCGAGCGCAGGCGGUUUUUUAAGUCUGAUGUGAAAGCCCUCGGCUUAACCGAGGAAGCGCAUCGGAAACUGGGAAACUUGAGUGCAGAAGAGGACAGUGGAACUCCAUGUGUAGCGGUGAAAUGCGUAGAUAUAUGGAAGAACACCAGUGGCGAAGGCGGCUGUCUGGUCUGUAACUGACGCUGAGGCUCGAAAGCAUGGGUAGCGAACAGGAUUAGAUACCCUGGUAGUCCAUGCCGUAAACGAUGAAUGCUAGGUGUUGGAGGGUUUCCGCCCUUCAGUGCCGCAGCUAACGCAUUAAGCAUUCCGCCUGGGGAGUACGACCGCAAGGUUGAAACUCAAAGGAAUUGACGGGGGCCCGCAUAAGCGGUGGAUUAUGUGGUUUAAUUCGAAGCAACGCGAAGAACCUUACCAGGUCUUGACAUCUUUUGAUCACCUGAGAGAUCAGGUUUCCCCUUCGGGGGCAAAAUGACAGGUGGUGCAUGGUUGUCGUCAGCUCGUGUCGUGAGAUGUUGGGUUAAGUCCCGCAACGAGCGCAACCCUUAUGACUAGUUGCCAGCAUUUAGUUGGGCACUCUAGUAAGACUGCCGGUGACAAACCGGAGGAAGGUGGGGAUGACGUCAAAUCAUCAUGCCCCUUAUGACCUGGGCUACACACGUGCUACAAUGGAUGGUACAACGAGUUGCGAGACCGCGAGGUCAAGCUAAUCUCUUAAAGCCAUUCUCAGUUCGGACUGUAGGCUGCAACUCGCCUACACGAAGUCGGAAUCGCUAGUAAUCGCGGAUCAGCACGCCGCGGUGAAUACGUUCCCGGGCCUUGUACACACCGCCCGUCACACCAUGAGAGUUUGUAACACCCGAAGCCGGUGGCGUAACCCUUUUAGGGAGCGAGCCGUCUAAGGUGGGACAAAUGAUUAGGGUG
rnacentral:rRNA from 1 species